CCUAGGGAUAAAUUUGGCUGCAGACAUUG
rnacentral:piRNA from 1 species